GGAGCAUGUGGUUUAAUUCGAUGCAACGCGAAGAACCUUACCAAGGCUUGACAUAUACCGGAAACGUUCAGAAAUGUUCGCCCCGCAAGGUCGGUAUACAGGUGGUGCAUGGUUGUCGUCAGCUCGUGUCGUGAGAUGUUGGGUUAAGUCCCGCAACGAGCGCAACCCUCGUCGUAUGUUGCCAGCACGUAAUGGUGGGAACUCAUAUGAGACUGCCGGGGUCAACUCGGAGGAAGGUGGGGAUGACGUCAAAUCAUCAUGCCCCUUAUGUCUUGGGCUUCACGCAUGCUACAAUGGCUGGUACAAUGGGCUGCAAUACCGCGAGGUGGAGCGAAUCCCAAAAAGCCAGUCUCAGUUCGGAUUGGGGUCUGCAACUCGACCCCANGAAGUCGGAGNCGC
rnacentral:rRNA from 1 species